GGUAAGACGAGGGAUCCUAGCGUUGUUCGGAAUUAUUGGGCGUAAAGCGGGUGCAGGUGGCUAUGUAAGUCAGGUGUGAAAGCCCAGGGCUCAACCCUAGAAGUGCAUUUGAUACUGCGUAGCUUGAGUGCUAGAGAGGAUAGUAGAAUUCCUGGUGUAGUGGUGAAAUACGUAGAUAUCAGGAGGAAUACCGGCGGCGAAGGCGGCUAUCUGGCUAGACACUGACACUCAGACCCGAAAGCGU
rnacentral:rRNA from 1 species